CUUUUGCACGAGAAUUUGGCCCUUGUUAGCAAGCUUCAAAAUGCCCCUUUCGUUUGACUGAAUAUAUCCGCAAUGCUCCUUUCUAUUCUUUUACAUUAUCUUUCUAACGAACGAGUCAUGAACACUGAUCAUUAUUGUUCCAUGAAGCCAAUCACAAUACACGAUCAUUUUAGGUUGGUAUUUACUCGCUCCUUUUAUUUACGUAGGUUCGGAGACGAAGAGACAGGGAUCGUGGGAUGUCAGUAAGUAUUUACGGCUACUAACAAUAUUUAUUCGCAAAUCGCAAUAUUUGUAGUUUUAUCUUAUAUUCCAAAGCUAACUAGUGAAAUACAGGGCCGUCGCCAUAUAGGAUGGUGGGGGUGAUAACCGAUUUGCCGGCAAAUUGUUUUCGUAGUCAGGGAACAUAUUUGAGUGGUUCGGAUAAAAAAGUAAUGGUUAUAGCAAAAAUUUUAUAAAUAGCUAUACGAAAAUAUUACCGAAAAAUGGUAUGUUUAAUAAUAUAUACUAGAAACUAUAUUUGCAAAAAGGUUAUUAAUUACCAGAAAAAAGGUUAAUUAGAAAUAACCCAAAUAGGGUUAUCGCUAGGAAUUCUAACCAGGAAAUUGUUAAUCAAGUAUUUUUAAAGUGUAGAACACCAAUAUUUGACAGUAACACUAACUUUUUUAUUCUUUUACUAUUAAGGUAAACACAUACGACUCGUCACGACCAAUGAAAGACCGGUUCUAAUAUGGACGACGAUGUAUUCCCUUUGUUAUUUUUUAAACUUUUUUAUAUGCUAAUUACCCGGACAUGUCGCAUAAUAUGAUAAUCAUCUUUUUUGAUAAUACAAGCAAAUCAGCGAUCUUCUUGAAAGAAUGAAAAUAACCCAUUGUGAGUAUAGGUUAAUUCGAUCCAAAAUUAAUAUAAGUGAUAUUAAUAAAUGAUUCUAACUUUUGCAUAGAGUC